GGCUCCACACUUGUUCUUAUCCCGUUUCUUCUCCCCUUUCUCAUUCAUACUCAAAGCAAAAUCCCCUUUUCUCUUCAUCUGGUUGAGAGCAUCCGCCCCGUGCUGCCUCCCUGCCACCUCCAACCCCGCCGGGAGAGGAGCUCCUCUGCCCCGAGCCUCCUCCAGCAGGACAGCCAGUUACCCGGAGUCAAACAACAACCGCAGCCACCCUGCCUUGGAGCUCGCCGCCUCCUACCACCUCUCCGUCGGACUCGUUCUUCUCCGCCUCAAAUCCGUCUGCCGCCACCGGAUCCACGCCAGAGCAGCCGGAUCCGCCGCCUCCUGACCCGCCUGCCGUUGGGAGCAGGACGACCGAGAGGUUCACCCGUUCGUUUGUCACGUGGGCCACGCAGCUGCCUCGGCCCAGCUUGCCCGCGAAGUCGUCGCCGUCCAUCUCCUCCCCCUCUCUGCUCCUCUCUAUUUUCCCUUUUUUGUUUCCUUCCUUGCUGUUUGUCAGCUCCCGAGUUGGGCAUAUCACGCAUGCCGCUUAUUUUGGAUCUUCCUUUAUUUCUCAUGGCCAAAGAUGACCCAUAUAUCUCAUCCUCUUUUGGUUGAUGUCCUGACUUAGGCAGGUGCGCCGGCAGGGAUGGCGGUAGCGGCACGCAGCGACGUUGGGGUGGUCCGGCGGCGCGCAGUGAGGCAGGCCGGGCGUGGCAGGAGGUGGGGACGCGCUGGAGGUGAAGAUCGAGCCGGGGCGUGCGGGUGGCUGGGUUAUGUUUUUUCUUUUCUUUCUUUUCUCUCCCAGUACGCGUUCAGGUUGAAUUAUCACAAGGAUUGCGGGUUGAAUAUCCAAAAUCAUAGGGGCUUUUUUGCAAAAA